rfam:Triticum aestivum genome assembly, contig: Triticum_aestivum_CS42_TGACv1_scaffold_193968_3AL
GAUAUACUCCCUCCGUUCGGAAUUACUUGUCUUGGAAAUGGAUGUAUCUAGAACUAAAAUACGUCUAGAUACAUCCAAUUUUGCGACAAGUAAUUCCAAACGGAGGGAGUAUUAC